UUUGAUCAUGGCUCAAGGAUGAACGCUGGCGGCGUGCUUAACACAUGCAAGUCGAACGAUGGAAGCCCAGCUUGCUGGGUGGAUUAGUGGCGAACGGGUGAGUAACACGUGAGUAACCUGCCCUUAACUCUGGGAUAAGCCUGGGAAAUUAGGUCUAAUACCGGAUAGGAGCGUCUACCGCAUGGUGGGUGUUGGAAAGAUUUAUCGGUUUUGGAUGGACUCGCGGCCUAUCAGCUUGUUGGUGAGGUAAUGGCUCACCAAGGCGACGACGGGUAGCCGGCCUGAGAGGGUGACCGGCCACACUGGGACUGAGACACGGCCCAGACUCCUACGGGAGGCAGCAGUGGGGAAUAUUGCACAAUGGGCGAAAGCCUGAUGCAGCGACGCCGCGUGAGGGAUGACCGCCUUCGGGUUGUAAACUCUUUCAGUAGGGAAG
rnacentral:rRNA from 1 species